rnacentral:rRNA from 1 species
AUUGAACGCUGGCGGCAGGCCUAACACAUGCAAGUCGAACGAGUGGCGGACGGGUGAGGAAUGUAUGGGAAACUGCCUGAGGGAGGGGGAUAAGUACCGGAAACGGUAGCUAAUACCGCAUACCAUCAGAUGUGCCCAGAUGGGUUUAGCUUGUUGGUGGGGUAAUGGCUCACCAAGGCGACGAGCCAUAGCUGGUCUGAGAGGAUGACCAGCCACACUGGAACUGAGACACGGUCCAGACUCCUACGGGAGGCAGCAGUGGGGAAUAUUGCACAAUGGGCGCAAGCCUGAUGCAGCCAUGCCGCGUGUAUGAAGAAGGCCUUCGGGUUGUAAAGGACUUUCAGCAGGGAGGCGGUACCCGAAGAAGAAGCACCGGCUAACUCCGUGCCAGCAGCCGCGGUAAUAC